rnacentral:rRNA from 1 species
AUUGAACGCUGGCGGCAUGCCUUACACAUGCAAGUCGAACGGCAGCACGGGAGCAAUCCUGGUGGCGAGUGGCGAACGGGUGAGUAAUAUAUCGGAACGUGCCCAGUCGUGGGGGAUAACGUAGCGAAAGCUACGCUAAUACCGCAUACGAUCUACGGAUGAAAGCGGGGGAUCGCAAGACCUCGCGCGAUUGGAGCGGCCGAUAUCAGAUUAGGUAGUUGGUGAGGUAGAGGCUCACCAAGCCGACGAUCUGUAGCUGGUCUGAGAGGACGACCAGCCACACUGGGACUGAGACACGGCCCAGACUCCUACGGGAGGCAGCAGUGGGGAAUAUUGGGACAAAUGGGCGAAAGCCUGAUCCAGCCAUGCCGCGUGUGUGAAGAAGGGUCUUUCGGAUUGUAAAGCACUUUAAGUUGGGUAGGAAGGGUAGGU